CGGCGGACGGGUGAGUAACACGUGGAUAACCUACCUAUAGGACUGGGAUAACUUCGGGAAACCGGAGCUAAUACCGGAUAAUAUAUUGAACCGCAUGGUUCAAUAGUGAAAGACGGUUUUGCUGUCACUUAUAGAUGGAUCCGCGCCGCAUUAGCUAGUUGGUAAGGUAACGGCUUACCAAGGCACGAUGCGUAGCCGACCUGAGAGGGUGAUCGGCCACACUGGAACUGAGACACGGUCCAG
rnacentral:rRNA from 1 species